GCCGCUUUAGCUCAGUUGGUAGAGCACAUCAUUCGUAAUGAUGGGGUCACUGGUUCGAGUCCAGUAAGCGGCACCA
rnacentral:tRNA from 4 species